GUCUUCUCGUUCUUUUUGGGAAGUCGGGCCUGCCCAGUGAUAUAUUAUUUAACGGCCGCGGUAUCUUGACCGUGCAAAGGUAGCAUAAUCAUUAGUCUUUUAAUAGGGGACUGGUAUGAAGGGCUUGACGAGACAUUAACUGUCUCAUUAUGAAGUUUAGAAUUUAUCUUUUGAGUUAAAAGGCUCAAUUGUUAUUGGUAGACGAGAAGACCCUAUAGAGCUUUAGGAUUAAAAAUUUGAUUGUUGGUUGUUUUAUAAGAGACGUUCAUAUUUUAUGGUUUUUUUGUUGGGGUGACAACAAAUAUAUGCGUAGCUUUUGGAUUAGUUUAUUCAUUCAUUUAUGUUUAUUAGAUCCUUUAUUAUUGAUUGUUAGAAUAAGUUACCUUAGGGAUAACAGCGUAAUCUUCUUUCAGAGUUCAUAUUUACGAGAAGGCUUGCGACCUCGAUGUUGGAUUAAGAUGAUAAUUAGGUGUAGUAGCUUGAUUGGUGGGUCUGUUCGACCCUUAAAUUCUUACAUGAUCUGAGUUCAGACCGG
rnacentral:rRNA from 1 species